AGUAGAAUUGCUAGAGCAUAUGGUAAUCCUGUAUUUAGCCUUUGGAAGAACUCCCAAACUGUUUUCCAAUGUGGCUGUACCAUUUACAAUUCCACCAGUAGU
rnacentral:pre_miRNA from 1 species